rnacentral:rRNA from 1 species
UUAAGUUAUUAAGGGCGCACGGUGGAUGCCUUGGCACUAGAAGCCGAUGAAGGACGUUACUAACGACGAUAUGCUUUGGGGAGCUGUAAGUAAGCUUUGAUCCAGAGAUUUCCGAAUGGGGAAACCCAGCAUGAGUUAUGUCAUGUUAUCGAUAUGUGAAUACAUAGCAUAUCAGAAGGCACACCCGGAGAACUGAAACAUCUUAGUACCCGGAGGAAGAGAAAGAAAAUUCGAUUCCCUUAGUAGCGGCGAGCGAAACGGGAAGAGCCCAAACCAACAAGCUUGCUUGUUGGGGUUGUAGGACACUCUAUACGGAGUUACAAAGGACGACAUUAGACGAAUCAUCUGGAAAGAUGAAUCAAAGAAGGUAAUAAUCCUGUAGUCGAAAAUGUUGUCUCUCUUGAGUGGAUCCUGAGUACGACGGAGCACGUGAAAUUCCGUCGGAAUCUGGGAGGACCAUCUCCUAAGGCUAAAUACUCUCUAGUGACCGAUAGUGAACCAGUACCGUGAGGGAAAGGUGAAAAGCACCCCGGAAGGGGAGUGAAAUAGAACCUGAAACCGUGUGCUUACAAGUAGUCAGAGCCCGUUAAUGGGUGAUGGCGUGCCUUUUGUAGAAUGAACCGGCGAGUUACGAUUUGAUGCAAGGUUAAGCAGUAAAUGUGGAGCCGUAGCGAAAGCGAGUCUGAAUAGGGCGUUUAGUAUUUGGUCGUAGACCCGAAACCAGGUGAUCUACCCUUGGUCAGGUUGAAGUUCAGGUAACACUGAAUGGAGGACCGAACCGACUUACGUUGAAAAGUGAGCGGAUGAACUGAGGGUAGCGGAGAAAUUCCAAUCGAACCUGGAGAUAGCUGGUUCUCUCCGAAAUAGCUUUAGGGCUAGCCUCAAGUGAUGAUUAUUGGAGGUAGAGCACUGUUUGGACGAGGGGCCCCUCUCGGGUUACCGAAUUCAGACAAACUCCGAAUGCCAAUUAAUUUAACUUGGGAGUCAGAACAUGGGUGAUAAGGUCCGUGUUCGAAAGGGAAACAGCCCAGACCACCAGCUAAGGUCCCAAAAUAUAUGUUAAGUGGAAAAGGAUGUGGCGUUGCCCAGACAACUAGGAUGUUGGCUUAGAAGCAGCCAUCAUUUAAAGAGUGCGUAAUAGCUCACUAGUCGAGUGACACUGCGCCGAAAAUGUACCGGGGCUAAACAUAUUACCGAAGCUGUGGAUUGUCCUUUGGACAAUGGUAGGAGAGCGUUCUAAGGGCGUUGAAGCAUGAUCGUAAGGACAUGUGGAGCGCUUAGAAGUGAGAAUGCCGGUGUGAGUAGCGAAAGACGGGUGAGAAUCCCGUCCACCGAUUGACUAAGGUUUCCAGAGGAAGGCUCGUCCGCUCUGGGUUAGUCGGGUCCUAAGCUGAGGCCGACAGGCGUAGGCGAUGGAUAACAGGUUGAUAUUCCUGUACCACCUAUAAUCGUUUUAAUCGAUGGGGGGACGCAGUAGGAUAGGCGAAGCGUGCGAUUGGAUUGCACGUCUAAGCAGUAAGGCUGAGUAUUAGGCAAAUCCGGUACUCGUUAAGGCUGAGCUGUGAUGGGGAGAAGACAUUGNGUCUUCGAGUCGUUGAUUUCACACUGCCGAGAAAAGCCUCUAGAUAGAAAAUAGGUGCCCGUACCGCAAACCGACACAGGUAGUCAAGAUGAGAAUUCUAAGGUGAGCGAGCGAACUCUCGUUAAGGAACUCGGCAAAAUGACCCCGUAACUUCGGGAGAAGGGGUGCUCUUUAGGGUUAACGCCCAGAAGAGCCGCAGUGAAUAGGCCCAAGCGACUGUUUAUCAAAAACACAGGUCUCUGCUAAACCGUAAGGUGAUGUAUAGGGGCUGACGCCUGCCCGGUGCUGGAAGGUUAAGAGGAGUGGUUAGCUUCUGCGAAGCUACGAAUCGAAGCCCCAGUAAACGGCGGCCGUAACUAUAACGGUCCUAAGGUAGCGAAAUUCCUUGUCGGGUAAGUUCCGACCCGCACGAAAGGCGUAACGAUUUGGGCACUGUCUCAACGAGAGACUCGGUGAAAUCAUAGUACCUGUGAAGAUGCAGGUUACCCGCGACAGGACGGAAAGACCCCGUGGAGCUUUACUGUAGCCUGAUAUUGAAAUUCGGCACAGCUUGUACAGGAUAGGUAGGAGCCUUUGAAACGUGAGCGCUAGCUUACGUGGAGGCGCUGGUGGGAUACUACCCUAGCUGUGUUGGCUUUCUAACCCGCACCACUUAUCGUGGUGGGAGACAGUGUCAGGCGGGCAGUUUGACUGGGGCGGUCGCCUCCUAAAAGGUAACGGAGGCGCUCAAAGGUUCCCUCAGAAUGGUUGGAAAUCAUUCAUAGAGUGUAAAGGCAUAAGGGAGCUUGACUGCGAGACCUACAAGUCGAGCAGGGUCGAAAGACGGACUUAGUGAUCCGGUGGUUCCGCAUGGAAGGGCCAUCGCUCAACGGAUAAAAGCUACCCCGGGGAUAACAGGCUUAUCUCCCCCAAGAGUUCACAUCGACGGGGAGGUUUGGCACCUCGAUGUCGGCUCAUCGCAUCCUGGGGCUGUAGUCGGUCCCAAGGGUUGGGCUGUUCGCCCAUUAAAGCGGUACGCGAGCUGGGUUCAGAACGUCGUGAGACAGUUCGGUCCCUAUCCGUCGUGGGCGUAGGAAAUUUGAGAGGAGCUGUCCUUAGUACGAGAGGACCGGGAUGGACAUACCUCUGGUGUACCAGUUGUCGUGCCAACGGCAUAGCUGGGUAGCUAUGU